GUACUCGCUACGGCGGUACGUAUAUUAAUAUUGUAAUGAUAAAGAGAAGAUUAGCAUGGACCGUGCGCAAGGAUGGCCCACAGAAUUGUAAAGCGUUCCACAUUUAG